UUGUCUUUGCAUUUAUGUAGUUUUUCUUUUAAUUGUUAUACACCUCAAUUGGAGCCGAAAGACAGUAGGCAAAACUCAGCGAGAUGAAUUUCAACCUUGUAUUUUAUGUGGUGUCCGAAACUUCCAGGCAUGCAUCUAACCGGUAGCAAGAAAAACUGUAACAGACCCAAUGAGCAGAGGCAACAUGGCAAGUGACCAGUGGAGUUUCUGAUCAGCUUUGGCUAUAGGAAACCAAAGGAAGAGCCAUUGUAUCUGGGUGAUCUACCAAGCCUUGUGGAGAGAAGGUGAAACCCCAGCUGACAGUAUAUUGUUAACAUGGAAUCUGUGUCAAGGACCCCAGUGUAGCAGACCCAAGGAAGGAAAAAGCUUACCCCAGGU